CAACCCUCAAGCUCUGCUUGGUGUUGGGCUCCGCCCCCGUGGCCGGCCCCAAAGUCAGUGGCGGCGCCGUCUGGCUCUAAGCGUAGUACAUCUCUCGCUCUAGGGUCCUGCGGUGGCUUGCCAGAACCCCAACUUCUAU
rnacentral:misc_RNA from 1 species